rnacentral:rRNA from 1 species
GAUGAACGCUGGCGGCGUGCCUAAUACAUGCAAGUCGAGCGAACGGACGAGAAGCUUGCUUUUCUGAUGUUAGCGGCGGACGGGUGAGUAACACGUGGAUAACCUACCUAUAAGACUGGGAUAACUUCGGGAAACCGGAGCUAAUACCGGAUAAUAUUUUGAACCGCAUGGUUCAAAAGUGAAAGACGGUCUUGCUGUCACUUAUAGAUGGAUCCGCGCUGCAUUCGCUAGUUGGUAAGGUAACGGCUUACCAAGGCAACGAUGCAUAGCCGACCUGAGAGGGUGAUCGGCCACACUGGAACUGAGACACGGUCCAGACUCCUACGGGAGGCAGCAGUAGGGAAUCUUCCGCAAUGGGCGAAAGCCUGACGGAGCAACGCCGCGUGAGUGAUGAAGGUCUUCGGAUCGUAAAACUCUGUUAUUAGGGAAGAACAUAUGUGUAAGUAACUGUGCACAUCUUGACGGUACCGAAUCAGAAAGCCACGGCUAACUACGUG